GUGCUCUGUAACCUGAUGUAACCUGUGGCAUCUCAGCUGUAGGCCAGGAACCCUGGAAAAGCAAGCUCGCAUUCACGAGGAGCCGCUUACUCUUGAAAGCCCAGCUGUCUUGCAAGAGGUGCCGCACAGGGUAGGAAGAGUUGGGAGCAAACAGUCUGAGGAAGUGGACUGUGGAAGCUGAAGGUUGUCCAGCCAAAGCUGAGUGUGUGGCUCUGACACUGACCAAGGCUGGAAAGAGUUACUGUGUGGACAGAGAAUGUUAGAGCCGGGUGAGCUUUCACAGGAUGAAAGAAGCGAGGAGAGAAUCGAAUGGAAAGAAUUGCUGAGAUCAGGCAGCUGGCAAAAGAGGAGAGAGCCCCUGCGAGGCAGAGCCCCUGGAACGCCCUGUCCUGGUCUGAGGUUCCCACUUUUAUCUCCGACUCCCGGAGAAUUGCUGGAGCAGAACCAGAGAGUGUCCAUUUUAUUUCCUGCCUUUUCCAAUAAACGGUGACUUUCAGCUGGAGUGUGUUCCUGGUGUUAUCCUCCUCCUCCUCCUCCCUGGAUUUGUAAAUAAAUGUCCUGAUUUUGGCCAAGUAGA